AUUGAACGCUGGCGGCAUGCCUUACACAUGCAAGUCGAACGGUAACGGGCCUUCGGGUGCCGACGAGUGGCGAACGGGUGAGUAAUGCAUCGGAACGUACCUUUCAGUGGGGGAUAACGUAGCGAAAGUUACGCUAAUACCGCAUAUUCUGUGAGCAGGAAAGCAGGGGAUCGCAAGACCUUGCGCUGAUUGAGCGGCCGAUGUCAGAUUAGCUAGUUGGUGAGGUAAAGGCUCACCAAGGCGACGAUCUGUAGCGGGUCUGAGAGGAUGAUCCGCCACACUGGAACUGAGACACGGUCCAGACUCCUACGGGAGGCAGCAGUGGGGAAUUUUGGACAAUGGGGGCAACCCUGAUCCAGCCAUGCCGCGUGAGUGAAGAAGGCCUCGGUUGUAAA
rnacentral:rRNA from 1 species